rnacentral:rRNA from 1 species
UACGAAGGGGGCGAGCGUUGUUCGGAUUUACUGGGCGUAAAGGGCGCGUAGGCGGCCGAUCAAGUCAGGCGUGAAAGCCCCGGGCUCAACCUGGGAACAGCGCUUGGGACUGGUUGGCUUGAGUUCGGGAGAGGAGAGUGGAAUUCCCAGUGUAGAGGUGAAAUUCGUAGAUAUUGGGAAGAACACCGGUGGCGAAGGCGGCUCUCUGGACCGAGACUGACGCUGAGGCGCGAAAGCGUGGGGAGCAAACAGG